CUUCAGUAACUGCAUCGUUUGCAUGACAAUACAUUGUGGCGCCCUGGAAACGUCCCUGUGCCAGCACAUACCUUGGCAACAGGAGCGGUUCAGCAGUGUUCACUGCACAAAUGGGAUGUCUGUGAAUGUCCGUUUCUUGCUCCCAAAGGAUUUCUAGACUUACUUGUAGUUCGAUAAAUGAAGGCUUCCCUCCUUCUUCACCUUGUAUGCUUUUGGGAUAAAUGUUCCUUCUGGUCAGCCAUCUAUAACCCUCGUAACGAUCAGUGUUGCUGACUAGCACAAGUUCUUUCCUGCCACCUCCAGAUUACUGAAGACACUAACCAGCAUGGAUUUAGUAACUGGAGGUGCAUCACUAUAAAAACGUAAUGUUAAUGGCAUAGCAGUAUGUUUGGGGUACAGCACUAAAUGGUGAUGUUGUCCUGCAGGACUUGGUCUCUGGAAUAGUAGCACUGGCGGAUAGUACAUGGAGGCUUGCUCAGGACUUAGGGCAAAAGGAGGUGAAGUGUGUUCUGUUACAUCAACCUUCCAGCUUGAGAUACAGUGUGACAAGUAAUUAUGUUGGCUGUGCCUGCGGCAAGAGGUGUACCUACAUUAAAAGAUCACCCGAGUUUUCUAGUGAGUGCUGGUUUUACAGGCUAAUAUUUUAUUCCCUUUGAGGCUGUUCACUCAAGACCCCUUUUCAGGUCAGAAUUCUCCUUCUUCAGAGCCAGGAAGGGGCUUUCAAGUUUAGUGCGGCUGUCAGGGAUCAAUCUCUUUUACAGUUCCUUCAAGUUCUUUAUGAUGCAGAUGAAUAAUUUCUGUAGAUCCUGAGCCCUGUGUUACGCCAGAGCGGGAGGAGAGUGGCUGCUGUUUUGAACUGUAGAAGCUGUUGACUGACUGGGUGAAAUAACCAGUGACAGCCAUUAAAAAUUGAUCAAGUUAAACGAACUUGGGAAGGAUCCAAAUCUCAGAGGAUCAGUUCGGAUGGUGAAGGCGUUGAGAUUUGCAGGAUAGGGGGUGGAAACAUAUCUGUCUGUAUAAUAUAAGCUGUUGGACGCUGAGGCACACUAAAAGCUAGUUCCUCAGCUCUUGACAGUCUUGGCAAAAGAACCAUAAUAACUUUUCAGAAACUGCUGGUAGAGUAAUUCCUAUCUUCUGCACUGAGUAUUCAUUUACAGCUCAAACUCAUGGUACAAGUAAGUCCUUAAAUAUCACUUGUAGAAUCAGGUCCAAAUUCUGUUUUGUUCUAGCAUUCUCACAUUCAGCCAUGCUGUAUUUGGAAAGCAAUACAAGAAUGUUUAAAAAUAGUAUUUUGGUAGUUCAGGUCAAGCA
ensembl:lncRNA